rnacentral:misc_RNA from 1 species
GGUAGAUUUAAAUAGUUAGUUUUCCCCUUAGUUUCCAUUAUCAACUCCAUUUUGAAAAAUUCUGAUUGCAUCUAUACAUAUUUGGUUGAUUUAUAAGACGGUGAACUGAGUCUGCUGCUGCUUAAGCAUUGAGACUUGAAAAUGGUCAAGUCUUGUUGUUUGCAUAAGUAGUCAUAGAUACAUAGUAUCACAGUAUCCUGAUGUAAUUUUUCUGAUUGAAUACAUUAAUAUAUAAGGAAAUCGAAUGAUUUAUCAAUCCCUAAUGUCAUACCGUGGAUAAGAUAUUAAUUAGUUAAUAAGACUUGAGAAGUUUCUAAUUAAAAAUUACUUCUGGAGUUUUUAAAUUCAAGUAAAGGUUCGUUAAGGAAAAUUUUAAAUCAUGAUUCAGAUUAGAUGAUGCAUUAAUUUUGGUUUUUUAUGUGUCUCAAAAUGUAAGCACUUUAUGGGCACCUUGCUUUCUCUAAGAAAUUGUUGAACUGCUACAAUUUGUGCCCAUGUCUGUCAUCACCAGUGUUAAGAAUUUACAUGGUAAAUAUCUAAAGUUUUGUCACAGUAAUAAAUCCCACUCUUGGCAUAGAGAAGGAAUUGUCUGACUGAUGCAGCCUUAUAACAAUCAUCAUUUAGUGGCCUACAUUGUACAUAUACGUGCAAAACAAUUUUGUGUCCUUAAUUUGUCAUAGAAAAGGGAUAAAACUUUGGUCCUUGAGUAAUACUACAUGCCUAAUAGCUGUGAGGCCUGCAUCUUAUAUAGGCCUCAUAUCAGGGCGAAACUGUUGUAAAUUAAGCUACAAGACACCCAUCAGGAGGCACUUUUAGUUGAGGUGAGCUAAUCUAAUUUUAAUUAGUGAUUUUAUGGUUUAUUUUGUAAAACUAAACCAUGACCUUGGAAUCUCAUUGAAUGCAAAUAGCGGAACGAGGAUGAUCACUAACUUUCUUGAUGCCUUACUUUCAAAAGAAAGUAUUCCCUGAAUUUCUCAUCUCUUCAUUCUUCCAUUACUUACCUCCUUUCAAGUGAAAAAUUGAUAUCUUCACAUCAAUAUCUGCAGUUGUAAUUGUACCUUUAAGAAGUUUUGUAUUGCUAUUACUGUUCUUAGCAUUUGCAAUCCUCUCAUAUUUGAAUGUUUUUACGCCAUGUUGAAUGAUUAGCAAGACAGAAAAUACUUCCAUAUGGAGGUCCGUUUACUUUGUCAAGGCCUUAUUAUAUCUCAAGACACUACAACAAAUAUAGGCUAUACAGCAUGCCCUAUAUAAGAAUUAUUAGCAAGUAGCUAAUGAUGUGCAUAAACCCCGUAACCUGAAGUUUUUAACAUCACUCUUACACUAAUUUAUAGCACUAUUAUGUAUAAUAUUGUAUACAUUAUUUUUGACGUUAUAUAUUACCUUGAUGUCUGAGCACAUUACCUUGAUGUUAUUUAUUACUUCAAUAUUAUGUAAAAAAUAAUGUUAAAAAAGUGUUGUUAAAGUCUAGAUUUGUUGUAGUGAGAUGUUUGGGUACAGUAAGAUGGAUUUAGUAUCGAAACAAUAAUUCUUGCA